rnacentral:miRNA from 2 species
CUACCCUCGGUCUGCUUACCACA